rnacentral:rRNA from 1 species
UACAGAGGGUGCAAACGUUGUCCGGAAUUAUUGGGCGUAAAGCGCGUGUAGGCGGCUUUGCAAGUCGGAUGUGAAAUCCCACGGCUCAACCAUGGAAGUGCAUUCGAAACUGCAGGGCUAGGGUCCUGGAGAGGAAGGUGGAAUGCUUGGUGUAGAGGUGAAAUUCGUAGAUAUCAAGCGGAACACCGGUGGCGAAGGCGGCCUUCUGGACAGUGACUGACGCUUAGACGCGAAAGCGUGGGGAGCAAACAGG